rnacentral:rRNA from 1 species
UACGAGGGGGGCAAGCGUUGUUCGGAAUUAUUGGGCGUAAAGGGUGCGUAGGCGGUCUGAUAAGUCAUCUGUGAAAUCUAUGGGCUCAACCCAUAGUCUGCAGGCGAAACUGUCGGGCUUGAGUAUGGGAGAGGUGAGUGGAAUUUCCGGUGUAGCGGUGAAAUGCGUAGAUAUCGGAAGGAACACCAGUGGCGAAAGCGGCUUCCUGGUCCAGCACCGACGUUCAGGCACGAAAGCGUGGGGAGCAAACAGG